AUUGAACGCUGGCGGCAGGCCUAACACAUGCAAGUCGAGCGAGCGGCGGGCGGGUGUGAUAUGUAUGGGGACUGCCCCCUAGGGGGGGAUAACUAUUGGAAAUGGUGGCUAAUACCCCACACUGUCGCAUUACCCACAUGGGAUUAGCUAGUAGGUAAGGUAAUGGCUUACCUAGGCGACGAGCCCUAGCUGGUCUGAGAGGAUGUUCAGCCACACUGGGACUGAGACACGGCCCAGACUCCUACGGAGGCAGCAGUGGGGAAUAUUGCACAAUGGGCGCAAGCCUGAUGCAGCCAUGCCGCGUGUAUGAAGAAGGCCCUAGGGUUGUAAAGUACUUUCAGUCGGGAGGCGUUACCGACAGAAGAAGCACCGGCUAACUCCGUGCCAGCAGCCGCGGUAAUAC
rnacentral:rRNA from 1 species